rnacentral:rRNA from 1 species
GACGAACGCUGGCGGCGUGCUUAACACAUGCAAGUCGAACGGAAAGGCCCCUUUUGGGCUACUCUAGUGGCGCACGCGUGCGUAACACGUGCGGAACCUUCCCUGGACGUCGGGAUUACUGCAAGGAACUGGAGCCAAUACCGGAAAGGGAUCCUUGGUGCAAGGUGGGGGUUGGAAAGCUUCGGCGGUUUUGGAUGGCCUCGCGGCGUAUCAGCUUGUUGGUGGGGUAGUGGCUUACCAAGGCUUUGACGGGUAGCCGGCCUGAGAGGGCGACCGGCCACCCUGGGACUGAGAUGCGGCCCAGACGCGGACGGGUGGCGGAAGGGGGGAAUGUUGCACAAGGCGAGGAGGCGUGAUGCAGCAACGCCGCGGGCGGGAUGACGGCCUUCGGGUUGUAAAACGAUUUCAGCAGGGGAGCAGCUUGUUGUGACGGUACCUGCAGAAGAAGCACCGGCUAACUACGUG